ACCUCCGCCUCUUCAAGAGUACGUGGGUGAUUCCGGGCGGGUUUUGUUUGGAUCUGGGAGGCACUGACUCUCCCGUUCGUCGCGUCGCAGGGCUGGUGAGAGAUCUGGAUCAGGGCAGGGGCCGUCCCAGGGAGGUGGUGGAGGCGGCCAAGGACCAAGGUCUCGUGGCGCUGCACUUCGCUACCGGGAAGGGAAGGCCACGGGUGUGCAGGUACCUGGUCGAGGAGCUAGGGGUCGAUGUGGACACCGUCGACGAUGGAGGCACCGGCACCCGGCGGUGCGCUCUCCGGGACUCUGCCACUUGAAGGGGCGAGGAGGAGCUACGGAUGCUAGCGAUUAACAACGUUGUGCAUAAGGCAAGCGCAGGACACUAUUUUGGAUUAGCUUAUAUUUUUCGGGCAAAGUUGUUCAUUUUAUUAACAUGGCAAAGUUCAGACAUUGAUGCAAAACAGCGAUAUGCCUUGAUGCUCGCAGGAAACAGAAACAGAGCUACAUGAGAUAAUUUUCAAGAA